rnacentral:lncRNA from 1 species
CCGCGGCGAGCGUCCGGGGAAGGAAUCCUCCGGCACCUGGGCCCUGCACCGACACCCGCGGGUGCGGCAGAGGGCUUCUCCCCGUGCUCCUCCACCCCUGGGGGGAGCGCGACCCUCUCUGGGCGGAGUGGGGGAUCCCGGGGCCGGCGCCUCCUGGCGGAGUUGGGGGAGGGGAACCACCUGGAGCCUGGAGGCCGUGCGAGGGCGAGGUGGGCGGACCAGCCCGGGAGGACUGACGUUGGAGGGUGAGAAGAGCCUUUCCUGGCCUCUCUGUCUAAAAGCACCCUGCGGAGCACAGUGGCUUACACCUGUAACCUCAGCACUCAGGGAAGCCAAGGCCGGAGGAGCAGUUGAGCUCAGGAGUCGGAGACCAGCCUGUGCAACCUGGGAGAACUUUCUACAAAAUAAAAAAAUUAGCGGAGCAUGGUGGCACACACCUGUAAUCCCAGCUACGGGGCGGGGCGGCGAGUGGGGAGCAGGCUGGACAAUGGAGUGAGAUCCUGUCUUAAAACACAAAAUAAAAGCAGCUCUCACUCAAGCUCCUGACUGCUGCCUUGUCCUAAUUUUCUUCUGAGCAUUUGUCACUGUAUGUGUGUGUGUAUGUGUGUAUGUGUAUAUAUAUAUGUGUGUGUGUAUAUGUGUAUGUGUGUAUAUAUGUGUGUGUUUAUAUUUAAAUGUAAGUUUAUAAAGAAAUGUUUACAUGUAAUGUGUUAUAUUUAUAGACAUGUUUAUAUGAAUGCAUAAAAUUUGUAUUUAUGUAAACUUAUAAAUAUGUAUAUACAUUAUAUAUAAAUGGAAUAAAAAACAUAAAUAAC